AAUAGAUACCCAGGUAGUCCACGCCGUAAACGAUGGAUGCUAGCUGUUAUGAGUAUCGACCCUUGUAGUAGCGUAGCUAACGCGUUAAGCAUCCCGCCUGUGGAGUACGGUCGCAAGACUAAAACAUAAAGGAAUUGACGGGGACCCGCACAAGCGGUGGAGCGUGUUGUUUAAUUCGAUGGUAAGCGAAGAACCUUACCCAGGCUUGACAUCCUGCUAAUCACUCCGAAAGGAGAGAGUGCCUUCGGGCCGCAGUGACAGGUGUUGCAUGGCCGUCGUCAGCUCGUGUCGUGAGAUGUUUGGUUAAGUCCAUCAACGAGCGCAACCCUUAUAGUUAGUUGUAUUUCUCUAGCUAGACUGCCCUGGCAACAGGGAGGAAGGAGGGGAUGAUGUCAGGUCAGUAUUACCCUUACGCCUGGGGCUACAAACACGCUACAAUGGCCGGUACAAAGGGCAGCCAACCCGCGAGGGGGAGCAAAUCCCAUCAAAGCCGGUCUCAGUUCGGAUUGCAGGCUGAAACUCG
rnacentral:rRNA from 1 species